rnacentral:lncRNA from 1 species
CCUGUCAGGAGCCUCUGCUGUAUAGAGCUGGAGUGUGAAAGUCAAGCUGAACCUGCCUAAUUGUGCCUGCGAAGGCAAUUCAGAGAAGCUGCUCUUGGAAGGGAAUCAGGACAAUUAGCUCUGAGCUGUGUGGAGAAGGGACAAGAGAGCUCACCAUGGUGAAUGUCAGCCUGUCCCUGGGGGAAGCAAAGGGCAGCAUUGAGUGAGAGUGAAGAGGUGUUGAGCAUCAUUGCUGAUGCCAUCCUCUGCUGGGUGGACCAGAAUGGUGAUGGAUGAAGAACAGAAGAGCCAAGGCCUGCUGGAGCAAUUGGGAGAGACCCUUCUCCAGGGAGACUGGAUGCUGCCUCCAAAAUCUCAAGAGCUCUUCUGGAAAAGGAGGCUCUGGAAGAUUCUUUUGCCCCAAGUGUGGCAAGAGGGGCUGAAGCAGACGGAGCUCUCUGAGAUCACAGCCCACCUCUCACCGCCCACCUUCAAGAAGCUCAUAGAUCCAUCUUAAAAGCCUUUCCAAUAAAGCCUUGGAGACAACAAGCCCCAUUUCUGAG